UGGGGAAUAUUGCACAAUGGGGGAAACCCUGAUGCAGCGACGCCGCGUGAAGGACGAAGUAUUUCGGUACGUAAACUUCUAUCAGCAGGGAAGAAAAUGACGGUACCUGACCAAGAAGCCCCGGCUAACUACGUGCCAGCAGCCGCGGUAAUACGUAGGGGGCAAGCGUUAUCCGGAUUUACUGGGUGUAAAGGGAGCGUAGACGGCCAUGCAAGUCUGAUGUGAAAACCCGGGGCUCAACCCCGGGACUGCAUUGGAAACUGUGCGGCUGGAGUGUCGGAGAGGCAAGUGGAAUUCCUAGUGUAGCGGUGAAAUGCGUAGAUAUUAGGAGGAACACCAGUGGCGAAGGCGGCUUGCUGGACGACGACUGACGUUGAGGCUCGAAAGCGUGGGGAGCAAACA
rnacentral:rRNA from 1 species